UGAUUUUCAGGGUAAUUUUUAAAAGAAAAUUCUCUCCGUAUAUGCAGAUUUCUAGAUACUUGAAUAAUGGAAGUUGGUAAAAUAUUCUAUAUAUAUAUAUGUAUAUUUUAUACAUUCUAUUUUUAGAAGUUUGUAUCUUAUCGUAAUUUCGAAUUUAUUCUUUGCUGUUGCAGGAAGCGGUAGCAAAGAUGGAAAGAGCAAGGAUAAUAAUUCACCCUCUGGUCCUUAUGCCGGAUGCGCGGACGGUGGCGACGCGCCCAAGAAGAAAGGCUUCUUCAAGGGCUUUUGGAAGCGAUCGCGCCACUAUUCGCUGGAGAACCAAUAGCCCAGGUGCGCGAGGGUGACGAGCCACCAUCAUCAGCGGUACAGGCAGACGCGGCAGCAGCAGCAACGGCAGCAACGGGGCAUCGCGGCCACCACGACCCUCGCGAGCAACCCCUGCUGCUGUAUCGUCCAGUAACCCCGAUUUUACAUCGACCGCGACCACAUCCUCUCAUCUCCUCGAACCGAUCCGACGCAUAGCGCAGAACACGUUCCAGCAAUGUUGCAGCAACGUUUCCGCAAUAUAUUGUUGAAAUGUUACAUUACAUUCUGCGCUGCACGAGACGUCCCUUUGCACUCGCGACGGUGCACUUUCGCGUUCCUCUCGCAUACGGAAUUCGCGCGCGUUUUACCCUCAUCCCUUUCUCCCCCUGAUUUGACCGAGUACGUUUUACGUUAGCUUAAAUCUUGCAUCAUUUGUGAAAUAACAUUUAAAACUUGAAUAACAUUCUAUGUAUGAUUUGAUAAUCAUUGGGAGCCUAUAUACACAUAUAAACUCAUAAAUACACGCAAGCAUAAACUUGCGAAAGAUUAUUCUUUACAUGUCUUGUAUCAUUGAAAAAAGAGAAAAAAAACGAACUCCAGAUUUGUUGUAUGUACAUAGAUUAUAACGAUGUAAUUAAUCCUCUUUUUUUUUUGUAUUCACCUUUAAUGGUAUUAAAGCAAAAUCUGCCCCUUUUGCUCCUUUCAGAACAAGGUCAGCCGGGAUGAUUUUUCAGGUCCGCCGCAACAGGGUGAGUCUUUGCGUGUUACUCGGUUUCCACUUACAAUUUGACACACCUUCCUCCCAAAAAGCAUCGAAUAUUUUGUAUAAUGAUAAAACUCACUCGAUUCGGUCGAUAAAUUUAUCAACUUGACCAUUAACCGACUUCCAAAGGAGAGGAUUUCCCGGUGGUUUUCCAUGCGAAAAUUUCGGAGCUCCCGCGCAAAAUAAUGGACAACACCUUGUCCUACUUGUUGUCAUUAAUCAGCUCGGAGAAUUUGCGCGGCGCCGGGGAAUCCCGAUUACUUUCGCGGGAGAAUGUGUCACGGUCCGUAGCUGGAACGAGAGUCGUCUCGUAUCGAAACGCUUUUUCACGCUGUCUUCGUCACGCCGUCUGCACCGGGUUCCCUCGCCACGUAUUUUCGCGCGCCUAAAGAGAUUCGCGAAUUCCGUACGAACGUUUACGGCGUACGAACAUGCCGACGGGCUUUUUUCGCCAAUUGACGAAUUUAUCCUACUAAAUUGCCUUUUACAACAAUUACGUAAUUAAUUUCUAAGAAAAGUUGAAAGUUUUUAAUAAACACACUAACAUUUACCGUGGCGUAUCCAUUAGAACGCUAAGAGAAAGGUAUUUUGUAAAACGCAAAGAAUCCUUUUGAUAACAGCCCCAACAACAUAUUUGUUUUCUUUUUUUGUAAUAUCUAUGUUAUACUCGCAAAUACAAAAUACUUGUCUCUCAAUGAACAUUCUCGACGACGACAGUGUUUCGAACACUUUCCUAUCGUAAGCGGUCCUAUCGUAAGAUUCUUUUAUCGCUGUUACGUGAAGUGCAUUUCGUCGAUUGGCGAGACCGCGUCGCUUUUACAAUUCAAAUCUUUCCAGCAUCCUCUCCUUUUGUAAUCGAGAAACGCACCCCCGCGUUUGUAGAGAUAAAAUGAGAAAUAGAAUAAUAAUAACAAUAAACAAUUAAAUGCAGAGUAUAUAUUUGAGUGUACUCGACUGCGCGCGUGUGUGUGUGUGUGUAUGAUAAGACGAGAACGAAAGCGUGUGAGUAAAAAGAGAGAAAGAGAUAAUAUGGGCGCAAAUGCGACGAAAAGAGGAUAUCAUACCAUUAUUAUUGAUACGAUUGUAAGUUCAUAGAAUCAUUAACACGUUGUAAUGUUAUUAUUAUUAUAAUGGGACGAUCACACGCGCGUGCGCGUAUAGUAUAGAUACGUACGUACUGGCGUACACAUACACAUACCCACACUCUGACACGCGUUAAUGCUAAGUGGAAUAAUAUUAUUGAUUAACAUUAUUGCCAAUAAUAUACGAUUAACUUGCGGUUAUAGCUGAUAAUGUAAACGAAGAGACAGGACCCGGACGAUAACGAUGAUAACUACGAUCCGUAUGUAUUUAAUAGAAUUUUUAAGUCAAUGUGUCGCAUUCAUCCCCUCGGAUAUCCGACAAGGACGACCGCCGGCUGUAACGUCAAUCGGUCGAAUGCCAAAGAUUCGGUCCCGUGGUGCGUCGAGCUGGAGAGAAACUGCCGUAGGAGGAGAGGAGAAAACCGUCGUUGAGCCAACCGUUCUAUCUUCUCACGCGCGCGCAUACAUUUGUAAAAUAUAUUUCCAUUGAUUUCAUAUUCUCGCCAAUACAAUUCGAUUGCGACAUUUGUAUCGAAAAGGUGAACGAAAGGAGGAAUUGGCGUUACUCCGUUCCCGGAAAUUUGUGUUUACGAUCAGAUCGUGAGCGAAAGGUCUGCUUUUCUCUUGCAAACGAUAAAAUGAUAUCUGAAUGUAGGAAUAAUUUUCAAUGGGGAAAAAAGAUGUCGGAGGCAAAAGGAUAUUCAACGUCGUGGAAAGUUUCACCGAACAUCGCGCGGAGGAUUAUAUUGCUUUCUGUCUCGGCUCAUCUCGGUAUGUUCGUCUCACUUUUUUGCGCGAAGGACCUCCUCAGGCGUAUCUUCUUGCCUCUGACGUUCUCGAUUACUCGUUAAAUGUUAGAACAAAUUGACAGACGCUUGAGAAAUAUAAUUUAUCUUACUAAA